rnacentral:lncRNA from 1 species
GUAUAUGGGCGAUGGUAGGAGAAUAGAGAGGAUAAGUAUGGUUUCUCUACUUCAAAGGGGUAUGUCUAUGUCUGGGACGAACCACGUGAUAAGAAUACACCACAAAGGAUGCUUAUCCAUAGGCCGAUAAACCCUACCAGUCCUGCUAACAGGAGGUGGACUACAGAGGACCAACAUAGUUGUCACAUACGCGGCAUACCACACGAUCCGGCUAGACAGGGGAUAUCCACAAGUAAUCUAGGUCUAAGAACCACGCUUACACCUAUACUACAACUCUCACCUAUAGCGUCCUAUAGAUUAAAGUACUCAAAAGAGUUGUGAACCAGAACAGACAUGGAUAGUAAUUGCAUAAUGAAAUAAGAAGUAGAUUACCAGAGUCAUCCCAUGACCAAGCUUGAAUAGAGCUUGAUCAUGGUGAAGUACAACCAGAGGAAAAACCGAUAGGCUAGCCUCUCCUCCAAUCCUCCCUCGCUCUCCAUCUCGCUACUGUCUAGAUCUACUCUAGUUUAGAGAAGAGAGGAGAGCUCUCAUCUCCAAACCCUAGCUUUUGCUCUGUCUAUGAAUAAUGAAUAAGGAUGAAGAGGUUCCUCCUCCAAGGGCCAGGGGGUCUGCUUAUAUAGCCCCUCCAAAUUAAUGUGGGCCGUCGGAUCAAACCGACCUUAGUCGCACGGUUUUCCUUGAUCCUUUAGGUCGGUGGAGCAUAAUCCGUGAGGCGGAGCCUGAUUGGUCCAGAUGUCAGGGCGAGCGCCCAAGGGGGGAGGGCGGGCGCCCUACCCCCGGGCUCGCUCGGCUUCCCGUUCAUUCCAGUGGCUUCUGAAGUCUUCUAGAUGAUAGAAAAUUGCGCGGCACGUUAAUAUCUCUAUGUAAACCCGACGUGUGGGCCUUUCCUCCAUAUUUCAUGAUAACCCCCUACAGAAAUAGACAAACACUAAAACUCGUGGAAUUCUGUCAGAUAAAACCCUAAGUUUGGGUGUUGGUUGUAUUUGAAUCCUUUUCUUUAUUUAUUUGAUGAUUAUAUUUAGUAUUUAAGGACCGUUAACAACUCCCCCAAGCUUACUUCUUGCUCGUCCCUGAGCAAGGAUGGACACAUGGGUUCAAACAAGAUCUCAUCUCUGGGUUAGGUUAAACUGUUAAGAUUUAAACAUACUCAUAUUACCUUCCACCAUGGGGCUUGCAACCGUCACUUGUGUCUUGAGUAGUUAAAAGAUAGAACGGUCAAGUCAAGUGCCAUGUCUCUUGUUCUUGAUCAACUAUAGCUCUGGAGUUUUUGUAGAUUUUCAAAUAAAACUCCGAGAUUCCUUGUAUGACUCUCUCAGUUCUCUCUUUUGUGGUAUUUCUGGAUCCUCACCAAGGCAGUGAUGAUAUAUGCCUUCUCUCAAAGUAUGUAGUAUUUGUGGUAUGAGGCAUAGUGAUAUUGCCUUCUCUCUCAUCCUACUCUAAUGAGGCUUUGAUGUCUAGAGCUCAUAGGUGGGAGACAGCUAAUACAUACUUACAAGACAUUUAUUGCAUAGUCAAACCAUAGAUCCAGAGAAACAAGUCAAUAAGUCAAAUCAAGAUGUGCAUGUGUGGCGAAUGAAUGGUGUAUGGUGAUGUUGGUGAUAAUGGUAAAAACAAUGGUGAAAGUCUAAUUCUACUUUUGCUCUUUUGAGGGGAUACAUACCUUUCUUGCACUUUGAAGCUUUUUGAGGGGGAAUGAGAUGCUCUAUAUUUUCUUUUUCUUUUCUCUCAGGUGGGUAUCUUGUACCCCUAAUUCUACUGUCGGGCACUUGUCCAUUUUUACCUCUCGUCUCACUUUUUCUUUUCUUCGAGGUUCCGGGCACUUGCCCCUUUUUAUUUCCUCGUAUUAUUCACUUUUUUUUUCUUUUUUUAAGCACUCACCCUCCUGGAAUAAUGUAGCAAGUGGAGUAACCAAAAUAUCUCGAGCAUUUAUUUCACUGGGAAAAGCAGGAAUGGGAUAAUGUUUUUGGCUAUUCUCUCCUGGAUAGGAGUAGAAUAAUUUUAGGUGAAUCUGGAGAUGGAAUUGAGUGGAUGUAUGUGGAUGCGUACUUCCGGAGUAGAAGUAGCAUGUAUGAGUGAACGUGCAAGUGAAUCUUGAUUUUAACCGCAUGACAAGCUCAUAAGGGUCUACAUAGCUUGACCACACUCAAUGCUCAUAAGCAGUAAAAAGUAAAUGUAUGGUUCAUAGUAUAAUAAGCAUGUAUGUGUGGCUGGGGUAGGAUUUUAAACUACCAUCAUACAGGAACUCAUCAUGCAACAUUUUAAAGAUUUUCAAAGAUAAAAUUCCCCAGAAUUCUAGCAUCUCUAUGAAUAGAUAAACAGCAGCUGAUCUAUGAACUCAUCAUGCAACAUUUUAAAGAUUUUCAAAGAUAAAAUUCCCCAGAAUUCUAGCAUCUCUAUGAAUAGAUAAACAGUACCUGACUUUUGAUCAGGUACUCUUCCCACAAGUUCAGGUUUAGAGAAAAUCUUAAUUCAUAGCAGUCAUUCCUAAACUUGAGAGAGAAUUUAAUUUUGAGAACUAGUCAUGGCAGAGCAACUAUUCAUCAUUUCCAUGUGAGAGCUUAUCAUGAGGGUUCAUAGCAAACUUUAUUUAUUUAUUUAUUUAGCAAACUAAGCAAAGAUAUAUAUAAGCACAAAAUCUUUAUUUGGAUUUUUAUGAUUAUGCAUCUUUUUAUUAUUUGAGAAAAGUAUAAAUGCGAGUAGAAACACUUAGCUGGAUAAAUGGGGGUGCUCUCCCCCAAGCUGGAUUUUGACAUAAUUUCUUAUGAUGUAGCUAGCAGGUGGCGGAGCUAUAUUUGAAUGUCGGUAGCACCCUGACAGCGAUUGGGACGUCCUCCGUCUGCUAGUCUUCUUUGAUCCUUGAAUUCUGUGAAGCUCAAAUAGACAACAAAGCUUUGUGGAACUAGUUAAGUGUUAGCAUAAAAAUCUCUUAGCCAUUAUCAUGUUGAGCUUCCUCUAAUAAAUAUUACUCUCUUUGGUAGGAUCAUAAAUUUAUUUUUAUAUUUUCAUUUUUAUAGGACAGGAAUAUUUUUAGUUUUACGCCACCACAGCGAAUGUACUUAUGGGUUUUAUGCCACGAGCAUACUUCACAUAGGGCUUACUGUUUUUUAACAUUUUUAAUUUCUUUUCAAGAUAGCAUGAUUAACUAACAAGCCAUUUAAGGAAAGUAAAUAAUUAAAGGGAAAAGGGAAUGUAGAAAUGAUAAAUAUGGAUAAUUACCGAUUUUACCUUUCGGCGAGGGUUCAAUGCUAUAAGUCUUCUGAACAAGACUUCUCACCAUGUUCAUUCUCUAGGUGUGUUAUUUGAUUUAGGUGUGGACCUUGACGUCUGCACCUCUUGAUACGGUGUCACCCAUGUUCUUCGUUUGCCCAGCAGUUCGAAGUGCGGCGUUAGCAGUAUCUUGCUCAGUGUGUUUGUGCUCGUAGAUCCAGGUCCUUCAUUUGGUGGAGUCUGGGAGUUGUAAAACUCCUCCAUGUUUCUCAAAGUGUGUCCUGCUCAUAGAGACAAGGUAGAGAUCAAGUGCAUGGGUCUUGUUGGUGGAAAACACCAAUAGAACCAAAAGUAUAUUUAUUCUUCUCUAUCCUUAAGCAUAGGGAGCAAGACAAGUUGAUGGGAUAAUAAGAUCAUGAGUGUAGCAUUUAAAAUAUUUGUCAGAUCAGAUCGCUCAACCUUAUGGAAAGAUAAUCUAUCUAUGUAUAUGUCUUUUCCUUUAUAUCUUCCCAAAGAUUGAAUGUGCAACAUUUUAGCUCAUAUGAUUAGGAGUGUAGGAUCAUGGAGGUAGUACUAGGAACAAAGAUUAAAGGACUAAACAUGCUGAAUCAGUUGGUUUGGUUAAUUUGGAGUUAUAAAUCAUACAUGUUUGUCUCUUUAUUUAUGUGAAGGCCAAAACUAGGAAGAAGCUUAUAAAAGUGAUAGUCACAUAUCUUAAAAUGUUACCUUAAUUGAAGAGUGAUGGUACCAUCUCACCUUGCGGAAGCUUCCCAUUCGUAGUGGCUGUGUA